rnacentral:tRNA from 1 species
GCCUGGGUGGCUUAGUCAGUUGAGCGUCCGACUUCAGCUCAGGUCAUGAUCUCGUGGUUCGUGGGUUUGAGCCCCACGUCAGGCU